rnacentral:rRNA from 1 species
AAGGAGGCAUUGUAUAGAGGGUAAUUUCUGGCCCAGUGACACCGGUUCAACGGCCGCGGUAUCCUAACCGUGCAAAGGUAGCAUAAUCACUUGCCUAUUAAUUGUAGGCUAGAAUGAACGGAUAAACGAAAUAAACCCUGUCUCAGUUAGCAAACUAAAAAUUAUUCUCCAUACGAAGAAAUAUGGAUACACUCGAAGGACAAGAAGACCCUAUAGAGCUUUAUUUAAACCAUAGAUUCCUCCUAUGUAAAAAUUCGGUUGGGGCGACCUAGGGACUAUCAAUCACCCUACAACACAAAGAUAAAUUAAUCAUAUGACUGACCCUUAUAAGAUCACAAAAUCAAGCUACCUUAGGGAUAACAGGCUAAUCCCAUUCAAGAGUCCAUAUCAACAAUGGGGUUUGGCACCUCGAUGUUGGCUUAGGUAACUAUAUAGCGCAGAAGCUAUAUUAUGUUGGUUUGUUCAACCAAUAAUUUCCUACGUGAUCUGAUUUCAGACACAGA